AUAUUGUUCUUACAUCUCUUCUGAAAAAAAAAUCCACAUGUUUGUUAUCAGUUGAACUCUGAAACUACAAGUCCAAUCGACCCCAAACUUUACAGUCAGCAGGGCAUACAUGUACUAAAGGUUCAUAAAAACAACCUUUUGCAGAUAUCUCUCAAGACUUUUCCUAGAGAAAAAAAAUCGCAAUGCUGUAAAAAUCGCUUGCUAGGUCCGUCAAUCUCAGUAAAAACCUACAAUAAAAUGUCCGCUCC
rnacentral:lncRNA from 1 species